AUUGAACGCUGGCGGCAGGCCUAACACAUGCAAGUCGAGCGCGAAAGUCCUUCGGGAUGAGUAAAGCGGCGGACGGGUGAGUAACGCGUAGGAAUCUACCUGAUAGUGGGGGAUAACGUUUCGAAAGGAACGCUAAUACCGCAUACGUUCUGAGGAAGAAAGCAGGGGCUCGCAAGACCUUGCGCUAUCAGAUGAGCCUGCGUCCGAUUAGCUAGUUGGUGGGGUAAAGGCCUACCAAGGCGACGAUCGGUAACUGGUCUGAGAGGAUGAUCAGUCACACUGGAACUGAGACACGGUCCAGACUCCUACGGGAGGCAGCAGUGGGGAAUAUUGGACAAUGGGGGCGAACCCUGAUCCAGCCAUGCCGCGUGUGUGAAGAAGGCCUUCGGUU
rnacentral:rRNA from 1 species